rnacentral:rRNA from 1 species
UACAGAGGUCUCAAGCGUUGUUCGGAAUCACUGGGCGUAAAGGGUGCGUAGGCUGCACGGUAAGUCAGAGGUGAAAUCCCGGAGCUCAACUCCGGAAUUGCCUCCGAUACUGCCGUGCUUGAGGACUGGAGAGGAGAUUGGAAUUCACAGUGGAGCAGUGAAAUUCGUAGAUAUUCGGAAGAACACCAGUGGCGAAGGCGGCUCACUGGCCCGGUACUGACGCUGAGGUGCGAAAGCGUGGGGAGCAAACAGG